rnacentral:lncRNA from 1 species
UUUAACAACAAAAUCUUCAUCAUUCAGACAAUUCAAUCAAAUAUUAUGGGUUAACAACAAUUUUUUGAUCAUUCACAUAAUUCAAUCAAUUUUCAUAGGUUUAACAUCAACAUUUUCAUCAUUCCCACAAUUUAAUCAAAUUUCAUGGGUUUAACAUCAUUAUAUUCAUCAUUCCUACAAUUCAAUCAAAUUUCAUGGGUUUAACAAUAACAUUUUCAGCAUUCCCACUAUUCAAUCAAAUUCUAUGGGUUUAACAACAAAUUUUUUAUCAUUCACACAAUUCAAUCAAAUUUCAUGGGUUUAACAUUAACAUUUUCAUCAUCCCCACAAUUCAAUCAAAUUUCUUGGGUUUAAC